GGCUGCAUAGCUCAGGGGUAGAGCGGAGGAUUCAUAAGCCUUAGGUCGGUGGUUCAAAUCCACCUGUAGCUACCA
rnacentral:tRNA from 1 species